rnacentral:rRNA from 1 species
UACGUAGGGUGCAAGCGUUGUCCGGAAUUAUUGGGCGUAAAGAGCUCGUAGGCGGUCUGUCGCGUCGGCUGUGAAAACUCGGGGCUCAACCCCGAGCCUGCAGUCGAUACGGGCAGACUAGAGUGCGGUAGGGGAGACUGGAAUUCCUGGUGUAGCGGUGAAAUGCGCAGAUAUCAGGAGGAACACCGGUGGCGAAGGCGGGUCCCUGGGCCGAAACUGACGCUGAGGAGCGAAAGCGUGGGGAGCAAACAGG